AGUGAACGCUGGCGGUAGGCCUAACACAUGCAAGUCGAACGGCAGCACAGUAAGAGCUUGCUCUUACGGGUGGCGAGUGGCGGACGGGUGAGGAAUACAUCGGAAUCUACUUUUUCGUGGGGGAUAACGUAGGGACACUUACGCUAAUACCGCAUACGACCUACGGGUGAAAGCAGGGGUUCUUCGGACCUUGCGCGUUUGAAUGAGCCGAUGUCGGAUUAGCUAGUUGGCGGGGUAAAGGCCCACCAAGGCGACGAUCCGUAGCUGGUCUGAGAGGAUGAUCAGCCACACUGGAACUGAGACACGGUCCAGACUCCUACGGGGGGCAGCAGUGGGGAAUAUUGGACAAUGGGCGCAAGCCUGAUCCAGCCAUACCGCGUGAGUGAAGAAGGCCUUCGGGUUGUAAAGCCCUUUUGUUGGGAAAGAAAAGCAGCAGGUUAAUACCCCGCUGUUCUGACGGUACCUAAAGAAUAAGCACCGGCUAACUUCGUG
rnacentral:rRNA from 1 species